rnacentral:lncRNA from 1 species
GGAAGACCUGCGGGGCUACCUGGACUGGAUCACUCAAGCCGAAGAGCUGGACAUGGAGGACCCCUCCGCCGAUGACAACCUUGGUUCUAUGGCUGAAGAGGGCCGGGCGGGCCAUCGUAGGCAACUCCAAUCUGGCCCAUUCCCUGCAUGCCUUAGAUGUGGUCUGCCCUCCUGAGACCCACCCAGGCCUGAUCUGCAACAACUCUAGCCCCAGCCCCCAAGUUAUGGCUCAAAAUGCAGAAUCAAGACCAGCCUCAGCUAUAAAGACUCCAAAUGACACCCCUACCCUAGACAUGGCCCUAACCCUGCCCCCAGUAUGUCCUCCCUAAUUGUCCUUUCUCUCCCUGCAGGGCCACAGCUGGCCGAGCUGACCAAUAGGAGGCGUGGACGUCUGCGCUGGUUCAGUCAUUCUACUCGCUCCACACACUCCACCAGCAGCCAUGCCAGCCUCCCAGCCAGUGACACCGGUUCCAUGACAGAGACCCAAGGCGAUGAGGAUGAGGAGGAGGGGGCUCUGGCCAGCUGUACACGCUGCCUGUGAGGGCCCCCAGCCCCUGACCCAGCCCAGAAGCCAGUCCAAACCCUGACUCAAG